rnacentral:ribozyme from 1 species
GCUGCUCAAAUCUUCACACACCUCUUCGUGGUGAGCAGCAGGCAACGGUCUUAUGACUGGCUGAGAUGUGAAA